rnacentral:misc_RNA from 1 species
UACGUAGGGGGCAAGCGUUGUCCGGAAUCAUUGGGCGUAAAGCGCGUGUAGGCGGUCCUGUAAGUCUGGUGUGAAAGCCCGAGGCUCAACCUCGGAACUGCACCGGAAACUGCAGGGCUUGAGUUCGGAAGAGGAGAGUGGAAUUCCUGGUGUAGCGGUGGAAUGCGCAGAUAUCAGGAGGAACACCAAUGGCGAAGGCAGCUCUCUGGUACGUAACUGACGCUGAGACGCGAAAGCGUGGGGAGCGAACAGG